rnacentral:snoRNA from 1 species
AAACCAUGAUAAGGACACUUGCUCAACAUUAACUUAAAGUACUUCCAUGCCUCAUAUAAUUACUCUUUUUCCAAUUGCCAAAGAUUCGUAAUAUCCUUACAGAGUUU